AUUACGUAAAUGCUUUGAUGUGUGGUUUCCUCUGAUGAACCGUAUCUGUCAUGUGACUUCACCAGUCUACAUUAAUCAUGUUACUAUUACCUGUCCAUAUUGAUCAUGUGAUUACUUGCCAACAUAUAUAAGAAGCAGCCUAAGGGCGACCAUUUUGUACUUGCCCUGAUGAAGGUCUUAACGGCUGAAAAGCAUAGGCAUGUUUUUAACUAUGACUAAGAAGCCAUGAAAUAUUAAAGGCUUUUUAAAUUCAUUACAAUCUUGAGUGCCUCAGAUCUUUUCAAUAACUCAUUACUGUCUGAAUGAUUAGAAUUUGAUUUUAUUUUCAAAAACAGCGGGCACAUGGUUGUUCAGAUUACAAGUUCAGCUGAAGCUGAAUGAGGCUUCAGCAGUGUGAGUUGGUGUGAGAGUGGCUAUUAGCCCAGAAAAAACACUGGCAAUAAACCUACAUGACUACCGAGACAUACAUACCCACUCUAUCUGACUAACUGACACUGCUGAAGCCUCAAAUCACCAACAUAGUUUUGAGUAGAGGGGGACCAAGAACCAACCUCUGGGGCUCAAAAAUGAAGCCAACGCAGGAGUGCCAAAAACUGCAGUUCCUUGAAUAGCCACUUGAGGCUCCAAAAGCGAAUCAAUCCUCAUAGACCCCCUUGUAAAGAUGCCCAACUUUACAGCAGAAAUAAACAUGUACAAUCAAGUUGUUUUAAUCCUUCACCUCUCAUGUUCACACAUGUCAUUUGAUACAUUAUUAUAAAGACGUACAUUAUUCCAAAGAAAUUGAUCUUAACAAAUCAAAUCAAAUUUUCACAAAGUAAUUAUUUUAUAUUCUCAAGAGCUCAAGUUUAUUAUGUUGUGAUCAGUUUUUUUUUUACAGAUUGAAUGUUGAAAUCAUUCAUGUCUUCUCUGGGUUUCCAAUAAAGUCGAUGGCUUCCAUUUGUGUUUCACAUUUCCAGGAUAGACUGAAGGAGAGAAAAGCCUGGUGGGAAAGUUUUCCACAAGGAGGGAAAAAGAACUUAAGUCCGAGAGAAAGAAAACUGAGCUCUGAAAUUAAAAUCAAACUACGGCUAACGGGAAACCUAUGACGAAUACUGAUUCUAUCUGCUAAUAAAAUGUACACACAGUUCACUGCCUUGUAGUUAUCAGAGCACUAAACCAUAACUUAGUACAAACUAGUCCUUUAUCAAUACUACUGUGUGUGAUGUUCAUAACUCCUAAUGAAAUGUAAUCCUCUCCAGAAUAAAACAUAUCUAUGGAUUGUUGCAUUUGCUUCAAGUUUACAGCAGUGCCACAAUGUUGUGACAGACCCAGGAGUCCUCUCCCUUCUCCAGCUGUGACACCAGUGACACUGAGUCCUGCUCCCUGCUGGUCAACAGUGCCUCACUGCUCCGCUGGCAGCAGGGCGGCCAGAAGGCCUCACCAGUCCGUGGACACGUCCUCAGGAAGACCAAGGAAUGAGAGCAGAAGAACAGCACAUAAACCUCUCAACCCCUCACAUCAGUCUCAUGUUGUUUCCUUUUUUUUCUUUUUAAGAAAUUGUGUUUAUAUUUAUUUAAACUGUUCAUACAGUCUGAGAGUGUUUUGAGGACACAAGCAUAGCAUUCACAUGAACCAGAACAAGUUGCCUGUUUUAGUAAACUGUAAGUACCACAACAUACAGAAAUAGCAACCUUUUGAAACUUUUAUACUAUGGAGCAUGUUUAGUGCACAAACUUUCUUCUUCAAGCAACCACCAGUCUCUUUGUUUCCUUUU